AUAAAACCUAAAAGAACGAUGUUUAAAAUUGUUGUACAUGUGAAGUUUUUGGAAACUGUAUAUCGAGUCACUUUAAAACGCGAAGUGUCAUUGUUUAAAUAACUGUGUUGCGAAACGCGUAAUAAAACGAAAAAAGAACACGGAGUGACGCUUAUUUCAAAUACAUGUAACGUUUGAGCGAUACUGUACUUCAGCACUCAAAUGGUUAGCAAAUAAAUAGAUGACAUACUAGAUCAGUUUUAGUCAGCGUGUUAGGUCAUUGAUAUUGACAAACGUUCUCCAGAGCGAAAGAACAAUUUAUUCCAUGAAAAAUUCUAAAAUUAAACGAGACUUACCUGUAAGUUGAAGUUUGAUUGGAAUUCUGUGACUUGUUAUGCAGGAACAAGGGGAUCACAUGAGAUUGCGUAACAAUUACCCAACAUUCAGUCUUUAAAGAAACUGCCAAACAUUGGUUUGUGGGCAGGGUUAUACAUAAUAACAUGAGGCGGGCUGUGAUCCUUUUGUUCCUGCAUAACAAGUCACAGAAUUCCAAUCAAACUUCAACUUACAGGUAAGUCUCGUUUAAUUUUAGAAUUCUAUUUCCUAAUUGUUAUGCUACGUCACAAGGAAAUCACAUGAGAUUUUAAAGCCCAAUGUUUGGGAGUGAAAACAGAUAAACAAAGUGUAUAAACAACAAUGUAAAUGCUGAUAACAUAAACUAUACAAGCCUUAAUUAAAGUAGGCAACAGCUCACAGCAAAAAUAAUGUAAUGUACUGUGAAAAUUUUUAAAUAACUGUCUUUAGAACUGCUUCAGCAAAACUUGCCCCAUUUUCAACUGGUUUGUUAUAUAAUGUCUGAAAAGUUUCACAAUUAGACCAUCCUGCACUACUGAGUAUCUCAUCUAUCGAAACUCCCGCUGCCUUAGCUGCCGAAGUAGAUGCCGCCCUGUUUACCACCAUCGGUAAACUGUAUAUUCGUAAUGUCCAUUAGCGUUGUUUGUGUUCUUUGACCAGAUAGCAAUGCUAUUAACAUAACAAGUUUAUGAGAAUGUUCUUUAAGCGUGAUUUUCUCAAGAGGGUAUAAUGUCUUGAGGUACGUCAACACUAGGCUAACAUCCCAUGUAGUGUUAUAGCGUGGAAGGGCUGGCCUUUCCUGGAAAACACCACGAAGAAAUCUGCCCCACAGGUAUGUUCCCUGGUAAUUGAAUAAUGGCUGAUAAUGCUGAUCGAGCUGUAUUCAAGCCACUAUACUGAACGCCCCCAUCAAAUAGUACAGUAAAAAAGUCCAAAACAUCAGUUAGAGAGGGAGAAAUCGGAUUAACUUGUCUUUCACUACAGAAAAGUGCCCAUUUGUUGAGGUAAGUUUGGUACUGCUGGACAGUUCCGCUUCGCCAUGAUUUGAUGAUGUGGGCAGCUUGGUUUGAAAUGCCUUGACUUUGGAGUGAUUUCCAGAUAAGUGACAUGCCAGUAGUCUGAGUUUCUGAUGUAGUGGGUGCAUCUUGUCCAGAUUGUGAUGUAAAUAAAGUAGACGUUGCAUUUUGGGCAAAAUCCGUGGGUGGUUGACCAACAUUUGCAUUGCCACAGGGUACCACGGUUGUGUAGGCCACAGGGGUAUUAUCAGUACACCCUCUGCUGAUUCCUCCUGGAUCUUUUGCAAAACUUUUGUUAACAGGCUAAAAGGAGGAAAAGCAUAAAAGCUUUUUGUAGCCCAGUUCAUGCUGAAAGCGUCAACUGCUACAGCCUUAGGAUCUGGCUGCCAAGAGACAUAUUGCUCUAACUUCUUGUUAAGCCGGGAUGCAAACAAGUCCACUUGGGGCUUAAACAUUUUGACACAGAUCCUAUCAAAAACUUGAUCAUUUAAUGCCCAUUCUGUAUGGUCAUCAAAUUGCCUGGAUUUUGUAUCUGCUUCUACAUUAGUGACACCUGGGAUAUGGGUUGCCGAUACCCAGAUGUUUUUUUCUGACUGCACCAAAUCCACAUUUGUCUUACUAUUGCAUUGCAUUCUGAGGACUGGUUUCCACCCAUAUUAUUCCCAUAUGUAAGCUACAGCUGUGGUAUUGUCAAGUUCUAAUCGAACAUGU
rnacentral:lncRNA from 1 species